rnacentral:rRNA from 1 species
CGGACCUGACUGCUAUCGGAUUGAUWYUAAGCCAUGCGAGUCAUUGUAGCAAUACAAGGCAGACGGCUCAGUAACGCGUAGUCAACCUAACCUAUGGACGGGAAUAACCUCGGGAAACUGAGAAUAAUGCCCGAUAGAACACUAUACCUGGAAUGGUUUGUGUUCCAAAUGAUUUAUCGCCGUAGGAUGGGACUGCGGCCUAUCAGUUUGUUGGUGAGGUAAUGGCCCACCAAGACUAUUACAGGUACGGGCUCUGAGAGGAGUAGCCCGGAGAUGGGUACUGAGACACGGACCCAGGCCCUAUGGGGCGCAGCAGGCGAGAAAACUUUGCAAUGUGCGAAAGCACGACAAGGUUAAUCCGAGUGGUUUCUGCUAAAGGAACCUUUUGUCGGUCCUAGAAACACCGAUGAAUAAGGGGUGGGCAAGUUCUGGUGUCAGCCGCCGCGGUAAAACCAGCACCUCAAGUGGUCAGGAUGAUUAUUGGGCCUAAAGCAUCCGUAGCCGGCGCUGUAAGUUUUCGGUUAAAUCUGUACGCUCAACGUACAGGCUGCCGGGAAUACUGCAGCGCUAGGGAGUGGGAGAGGUAGACGGUACUCGGUAGGAAGGGGUAAAAUCCUUUGAUCUAUUGAUGACCACCUGUGGCGAAGGCGGUCUACCAGAACACGUCCGACGGUGAGGGAUGAAAGCUGGGGGAGCAAACCGGAUUAGAUACCCGGGUAGUCCCAGCUGUAAACUAUGCAAACUCAGUGAUGCAUUGGCUUGUGGCCAAUGCAGUGCUGCAGGGAAGCCGUUAAGUUUGCCGCCUGGGAAGUACGUACGCAAGUAUGAAACUUAAAGGAAUUGGCGGGG